rnacentral:rRNA from 1 species
AUACGUAGGGUGCGAGCGUUGUCCGGAAUUAUUGGGCGUAAAGGGCUCGUAGGCGGUUUGUCGCGUCGGGAGUGAAAACAUCCAGCUUAACUGGGUGCUUGCUUUCGAUACGGGCAGACUUGAGGUAUGCAGGGGAGAAUGGAAUUCCUGGUGUAGCGGUGAAAUGCGCAGAUAUCAGGAGGAACACCGGUGGCGAAGGCGGUUCUCUGGGCAUUACCUGACGCUGAGGAGCGAAAGUGUGGGGAGCGAACAGGA